rnacentral:lncRNA from 1 species
UUUUUAAUUCUCUCUCUUGUUGUUUUGAGGGGCUCUGGAAAACAUUCUUAAUACAUUUGUUCCUGUGUUUGUCUAUGUGUGCACAUGCGUGUGUAUGUUUAAUAGCCAGUGAGAUCAUUGAUUUACUUUUCAAAAAGUGGGAAAACAACUAAUUUCAAGAAAAGAUUCAGAGUUUCUCAACCAAGGCAACUUGGUUGACUUUAUAAAUCCCAUUGUUUGGCUAUGAAGUGAGGCACUUAAGUAUUAGAGAUAUAAAUAGCCUACUGAGAUUUUGUUCUUGGGCAUACCACAUGAAAUCAAAGAAAUAAAUCCUACUGCCUUUUACAAAUGGUAUUUUAUCUCAUUCUUCAGCCCAAACUCUACAUACUAUUGAGAAGAAGCCAGGUCUUUCAAGAUGCAUAUUGUGUGAUAGGCUGGAAGAAGCAAAACUAGAGUCAGUAAAGAGAUCAGUGGUUGUCAGGAACUGAAAGGUUGAGAGGGAAGAAUUGAACACAGAAGGGCACAGAGAACUUUAAAGAGUCAUGGAAAUGUUCUUUAUUGUGAUUGCAGUGGCACUUAUAUGAGAGUAUGUAAAUUAUACCUCAAUAAAAAUAACUUCAAACAAUUCAUACAAGCACUUUGGCGGUGGAUAACCAAAGUAAUUAAAUUUGGAAAAAACAGUUUUGAGCUUAUUGCUAUUUCUCCUCCCACUGAAUCUGCAUUCACUCACUCGCCAGAAUUUAAUCCUAUUCACAAUUGUUAUUUUAGCCAUCAGUGCUGAAUCAUGAUCACAAGGCACAUUGUUGAAUGUUAGUUCCUCCCCAUGAAGGAAGCCGUGUGCAGCCUGGCCCUCUUCCAUUUUCAGAGCAGUGCCCUUUCUGGCCCUUACAUUGCUGCUGUCACAUCACUGCUGACCACAGGGUACCUUUUCCAGUCUACAUCUGGCAAGCAAGAUGAGCUUUGGCUGAAUGACAAAUGUCUUCUCAGAUGGCAUGGGUGACAGGUGGAAAGCAUAAUUAAAAGCCAUCAAGCACUCCUUCCUCCUAGAUGCAGUAACUGUGUGUGUGCACAAAGGAGAUUCAUAUUUUGCAUUUUAGUAAUUCCAUCCAACUGAGCAAAAGCAUGUAUGGUUGCUCUUCUACUAAGGACAGUACUCGGAUUGUGCUAUUGUCCAGCACUGUCAUAAAGGAAUCUGCCAAGAUGAACCCGACUAGCAUCCAUGAGGACACAGGUUUAACCCCUAGCCUUGCUCAGUGGGUUAAGGAUCCAGCGUUGCCAGGAGCUGUGGUGUAGGUUGCAGAUGCAGCUCAAAACCCACAUUGCUGUGGCUGUGGUAGAGACUGGAGGCUAUCGUUCUGAUUGGACCCUGAGCCUGGAAACCUCCAUAUGCUGUGGGUACAGCCCUAAAAAGACAAAAAG